AAGUCUGAUGGAGCAACGCCGCGUGAGUGAAGAAGGUUUUCGGAUCGUAAAGCUCUGUUGUUGGUGAAGAAGGAUAGAGGUAGUAACUGGCCUUUAUUUGACGGUAAUCAACCAGAAAGUCACGGCUAACUACGUGCCAGCAGCCGCGGUAAUACGUAGGUGGCAAGCGUUGUCCGGAUUUAUUGGGCGUAAAGCGAGCGCAGGCGGAAAAAUAAGUCUAAUGUGAAAGCCCUCGGCUUAACCGAGGAAUUGCAUCGGAAACUGUUUUUCUUGAGUGCAGAAGAGGAGAGUGGAACUCCAUGUGUAGCGGUGGAAUGCGUAGAUAUAUGGAAGAACACCAGUGGCGAAGGCGGCUCUCUGGUCUGCAACUGACGCUGAGGCUCGAAAGCAUGGGUAGCGAACAGGAUUAGAUACCCUGGUAGUCCAUGCCGUAAACGAUGAGUGCUAAGUGUUGGGAGGUUUCCGCCUCUCAGUGCUGCAGCUAACGCAUUAAGCACUCCGCCUGGGGAGUACGACCGCAAGGUUGAAACUCAAAGGAAUUGACGGGGGCCCGCACAAGCGGUGGAGCAUGUGGUUUAAUUCGAAGCAACGCGAGGAACCUUACCAGGUCUUGACAUCUAGCGCCAACGUAGAGAUACGAUGUUCC
rnacentral:rRNA from 1 species